CCUACGGGAGGCAGCAGUGGGGAAUAUUGCGCAAUGGGGGGAACCCUGAUGCAGCAACGCCGCGUGAGUGAAGAAGCGUUUCGGCUCGUAAAGCUCUAUCAGCGGGGACGAAGUAUGACGGUACCUGACUAAUAAGCCCCGGCUAACUACGUGCCAGCAGCCGCGGUAAUACGUAGGGAGCAAGCGUUAUCCGGAUUUACUGGGUGUAAAGGGCGCGCAGGCGGGCGUGCAAGCCAGGAGUGAAAUCUGGGGGCUCAACCCCGAGACUGCUUUUGGAACUGCGCGGCUGGAGUGCAGGAGGGGCAGGCGGAAUUCCCGGUGUAGCGGUGAAAUGCGUAGAUAUUAGGAGGAACACCGGUGGCGAAGGCGGCCUGCUGGACUGUGACUGACGCUGAGGCGCGAAAGCGUGGGGAGCAAACAGGAUUAGAUACCCUUGUAGUC
rnacentral:rRNA from 1 species